rnacentral:rRNA from 1 species
GCACAAGCGGUGGAGCAUGUGGUUUAAUUCGAUGCAACGCGAAGAACCUUACCUGGUCUUGACAUCCACGGAAGUUUUCAGAGAUGAGAAUGUGCCUUCGGGAACCGUGAGACAGGUGCUGCAUGGCUGUCGUCAGCUCGUGUUGUGAAAUGUUGGGUUAAGUCCCGCAACGAGCGCAACCCUUAUCCUUUGUUGCCAGCGGUCCGGCCGGGAACUCAAAGGAGACUGCCAGUGAUAAACUGGAGGAAGGUGGGGAUGACGUCAAGUCAUCAUGGCCCUUACGACCAGGGCUACACACGUGCUACAAUGGCGCAUACAAAGAGAAGCGACCUCGCGAGAGCAAGCGGACCUCAUAAAGUGCGUCGUAGUCCGGAUUGGAGUCUGCAACUCGACUCCAUGAAGUCGGAAUCGCUAGUAAUCGUGGAUCAGAAUGUCACGGUGAAUACGUUCCCGGGC